rnacentral:tRNA from 1 species
ACCACUGGUUAGCUCAGUUGGCAGAGCGCUCCACUGGAAAUGGAGAGGUCCCGGGUUCAAUCCCCGGACCAGGCG